ensembl:lncRNA
AUGAGUAAAUGGUUGCAAAAACACCUUACCCCACGGAUACUGCGAGAUGAAUCAUAUCUUCUAAAUAAAGCCCAAGUAAAUGUAACCACUGGGUUCUAUGCCAGGACACAAUUUCUAUCCAGUAUCCUAGGGGUUAAAAGCACCCUGAGGGAGUAAUCCUCCCUCAUUUACAAUCACUCUUUGCCCUGCAGCUGCUGACUGCAGGGUUAUUUCUCAGAGCCCCCGAGAAUAUAUCCAUAGAAGAAACUCAAUAGAAACGGGAUUUAAGAUGGAGGUAGAAGAGAAGCCAUCUCUCUUUGAACUUAAUCUGCAAAGGCAACACAAACUGGCAAUAAAGCAGAGUUUAUGACACCCUCUGAGAACUGUUUCAUUGGCUUUUCCAUUGCACCCUGACAUACAAAGACACCAGCCGCCUGAGUCAGCCACACAUCUCUUCACAGCCAAUAUCAGCCACCUCUGUCCCUCUUAACCCAGCUGACAAAUUUAGACCUCCGAGGAUGGCGGUGUUAACCGAUGUUCAGAGCAAAUCCACAAUGUGUGGGUGUGUACAGUGUGCUUUUUUACAUGUGAGUAAUGUAUUAGCAUAAAGAGAUGGAAGUGAAUUGGCCACAGGUCAAGAGUAUAUAGCAUAUGCUCGGUUGCCAAGAGAGAAACCAAAGAGGAAAAAAUCAACCUGCUCUCUACGAAUGACCCCUUUUUUCUUAGAAAACAAUCAAAUAAAGGUCAGGCACAGACUUGUGGGAAAGGAAAAUGAGUGCUGCAGAAAUCAUGAACAUGAGAACUGGAUGUAGCAAAUAUUAUAGAGAUAAAUAUUGUUUAUUUUAUACAGGUCUACUGUCACUGCUCAAAGUGUAAGUUACUAUAUUUACAUUUUCUUUUACAUAAAAAGUUACUAAGGCUACUAAAAGGAAGGCUAUAUUGUAUUUUUUGCUUUCUCUUGUAGCAUGUGAUUUAAUAGUUUAUUGAAUGUGUAAAACUGUAGCUUUUUGUGCUGUAGAUUCUUAAUUAUUGAUCCUCAUUUAAAUAAUUUUUGCUAUUAUGCCAAUGCCAAAGCCAUCUGUCAAAAUCGGCAGUUUUUCUGACACAUCAAGUCAGAACCAUAGACGUGAGACCAAAAGGGAAAUGUUUAUAGUUUGUAUUUUAUUUUAUUUUCCUAAUUUAAUACAAAAUGUAACUUACAUAUUCUCAGCAUAGCAUUUUGAAUACAUUUUACUGCACUGAAUUCUCUGUUUUUGCUUAUUUGAUAUAUUGACAAUAUUUCUUCUUUGUUUUAAAUUUAUUAAAAUUCUAGUUUUCAGUUUAUUUCCAGUUUCAAAGAAAAA